rnacentral:rRNA from 1 species
UGGGGAAUUUUGGACAAUGGGGGAAACCCUGAUCCAGCGAUACCGCGUGUAGGAAGAAGGCUUUCGGGUUGUAAACUACUGUCAUAGGGGACGAAGAUUUAAGUGUGAAUAACAUUUAGGUUUGACGGUACCCUAGAAGGAAGCAUCGGCUAACUCCGUGCCAGCAGCCGCGGUAAUACGGAGGAUGCAAGCGUUGUUCGGAUUUACUGGGCGUAAAGUGUGUCUAGGUGGGAUUGUGUGUCGGGUGUGAAAGCCUCAGGCUUAACCUGAGAAUAGCGCCCGAAACUGCAGUCCUUGAGUUAUGGAGAGGUGAGCGGAAUUUCUAGUGUAGCAGUGAAAUGCGUAGAUACUAGAAAGAACACCAGAAGCGAAGGCGGCUCACUGGCCAUUUACUGACACUAAAGCACGAAAGCGUGGGUAGCAAACAGG